UGCGGAGGGAGCUAGCGUUAUUCGGAAUUACUGGGCGUAAAGCGUACGUAGGCGGUUCCUCAAGUCAGAGGUGAAAGCCCGGGGCUCAACCCCGGAACGGCCUUUGAAACUAGAUAACUAGAGUCUUGGAGAGGUUAGUGGAAUUCCGAGUGUAGAGGUGAAAUGCGUAGAUAUUCGGAAGAACACCAGUGGCGAAGGCGACUAACUGGACAAGUACUGACGCUGAGGUACGAAAGCGUGGGGAGCAAACAGG
rnacentral:rRNA from 1 species